rnacentral:rRNA from 1 species
GACGAACGCUGGCGGCGUGCUUAACACAUGCAAGUCGAACGGAAAGGCCCUGCUUUUGUGGGGUGCUCGAGUGGCGAACGGGUGAGUAACACGUGAGUAACCUGCCCUUGACUUUGGGAUAACUUCAGGAAACUGGGGCUAAUACCGGAUAGGGGCUCCUGCUGCAUGGUGGGGGUUGGAAAGUUUCGGCGGUUGGGGAUGGACUCGCGGCUUAUCAGCUUGUUGGUGGGGUAGUGGCUUACCAAGGCUUUGACGGGUAGCCGGCCUGAGAGGGUGGCCGGCGACAUUGGGACUGAGAGACGGCCCAGACUCCUACGGGAGGCAGCAGUGGGGAAUAUUGCACAAUGGGCGGAAGCCUGAUGCAGCAACGCCGCGUGCGGGAUGACGGCCUUCGGGUUGUAAACCGCUUUCGCCUGUGACGAAGCGUGAGUGACGGUAAUGGGUAAAGAAGCACCGGCUAACUACGUG